rnacentral:lncRNA from 1 species
GGGAGGCCGAUUUCGUGCGUUCCACGCGCGAAAAAAUAAAGCAAAAAAGAAAAAAAUUGAUUUCAUGAGUUUAUAGUUGCGGAGAAAGAGAGGAGAGAGGGAGGAAACAAUUUGGGGAAGAAAGAGAAGAUAGUGGGCGGCGGGUGGGGUUAAGUUAUUUAACUUUUUUUUUGUUUGUUUUUUUAUUUUGGUUUUUAAUUAUUUUAAUUUUUUCACCUAAAAAAUUAUUGUAAUGUUUUUAAUUUUAAAAUUCUAUAUUUUAUUUUAAUUGAUGUUAUACUGAAUAUUUAAUUAUAAUAAAAUUUGAAAUUUUAAAAUAAAAU